AUGUUUCUUGCCCUCUUACGGUAUCUGGUAAUGACGUACGGUACCAUUAGGAAGACAUUUCUAAGCCCAAAAGAUUGUUGGAAAUUAUUUAUUCUAUUGAUAUUGAUUAGCUCCCUUAUUACUUGCUUUUUCAAUUUAAAAUUAGAAAUUGUGCCAAGCACGAAAUGGCGGCCCCCGAGCAGCUGCACCAUGUACCCCGCCAAUUCAACGUUUCCUGGCUUUGGAACUAUUCAAACUGACUUCUACAAGGAUUUUCCUGAAAUUUUCGAUAUAUUUACACUUUUUGACGGUAUCAAAAAUCUAGACGAAGUGUGGUGGCGCGACCUUGUCGCCCUACCCGCCCUGUAUCACGUGAGAUGUGCCUGAGGAGUAUUAUGCUUCUUGGCCUGUGCAUAGACUGAAUGUUAAGCCUAGUAAAUCCUGUACCGAUCUUGUGAGGGAAUGGGGGUUUGUUCGUGGACUACAAGUUAAAGCUGCUCCUGAUAUAGAAUAUAUCAAAGUAUUGAAUGAAAACGGUGGGGUAGCCCCAGGCAAACGUGAAUGGAUAGCGGUAGGUACACAACUAUAACUGAUAACUUUGUAUAUAUUUGAAUUUCUUUUAUUUAAUACUUAAUUUACAGAAGCCUAACUUUGGCGUGUCCCGAAAUAAAGUCGUUGGCUUUAGUCAUUGUUUGCCUAAAGCCUUGGUCCUCGGGAAGCUGGAAAGUGAUAUCAAGUUUUCGACGUGUUUGGUUGAGAAAAGUGAAUUGAAGAAAAAGAUAGACCGUUUACUGCAUUCGAGACUUGAAGAUCGGCUCAAUUGGCAAAUGAUGCUAGCGCAGAAUCUUUUGAGAGACGCAGGGCUAGAUGAACUUAAAACAGAAUAUGAAGUGGAGGACCUUGUCAAAAUAGCUGAUCAUUUAGCUAACUACCAGAUUGUUGUUUGGACUAUAGAUGGAGAUGGUCGAUACGUAGAUUUCGCAAUCAAGAUAAAAUUGAAUCCCCAUGGGAAACAGUUUAUAGGACUUUUCUAUUACGAAGAUCAAUAUGAGUCUGUAGAUUGGAGACGUGGAUACCCUGGUUAUAGGUUCUGUUACGCAUGUUCCACAUAUGGCGUGGUACUCGGUCAUAAGAUUUAUUGCAAACCCGUAUGUAGGAAAUGUGGUGACAAAUUAGGUUGGAGAUGUGUUGGGAUCUUUUGUGAAAGAUGUAAAACCUUCGUUGGAUCGUCCUCUUGA